AUGGGGUUCUCUCAACGAUGGAUGGAUUGGAUUAUGUCAUGUAUCACAUCGGUGAGGUAUUCGGUUAAACUCAAUGGGACCCCCUUGGAUUCAUUUGCACCGACGCAUGGGCUUCGGCAGGGUGAUCCCCUUACACCGUUUUUGUUCUUGUUCGUGGCGGAUGGUCUCUCUGCUAUUCUGAAACAUGGUGUUAUGACCGGAAAUAUCACUCUGGUAAAGGUGUGUAGAAGGGCGCCAGGUAUAUCACAUUUGUUGUUUGCCAAUGAUACACUCUUGUUUUUUGAAGCAUCCCAAGUAAAAGCAGAAAGAACCAAAUUAGCUAUGGAAAGGUAUGGUGCGGCUAUGGGUCAAAGUUUAAACUUUGAGAAAGUGCUCAAUUUUAUUUGGAGACUCUUGUCCGGCUAUUAUACAGGAGCAAGUCAGGAAUGUGUUAGGCGUUACGAGCUAAAUUUUCGAGGAGAAGUAUUUGGGCCUGCCUACUCCUGA
rnacentral:rRNA from 1 species